rnacentral:tRNA from 1 species
GAGCCCGUAGCUCAGGGGUAGAGCAUUUGACUUUUAAUCAAAGGGUCGACGGUUCGAUCCCGUCCGGGCUCACCA